rnacentral:lncRNA from 1 species
CGAGAACUCCCGAGCGAAGCAACAAAACCAUCAAAUAUGGCUGAGCCUCUCGGCUCGUCCUGCAGCCGCCGCGGCCGCGGCCUGAGACGCGCACCCCGACCCGCGCGCCCCCGCGCCCCCGCCCCCGCGUACCUGCUGCGCACGGGCUGGGCCUCCGCGGGCUGCGCGCCGCGCCGCAUGGGUCCGGGCCACCGAGGCCCCGCGGGGAGCCGGGCGGGCCCCUGCUGUCGCCCGCGCGCUCGGCCGGCCCGGCGCGCCCAGGCCCUCCCGGUAGGGCGUGCGGCUGGCGGCGGAGGAAGCGCGGGGACGCAGACUCAUUUCUGGGUCACUGCUGCCACAGGGGGGAGCACUUUAAUCCCCAGCCAAAGGAGAGGGUGGGGACAGUGGGGCGGGGAGCCGCUGGUAGGGGCUUGCUCCCGUUAACUCUUGGGGUCCUGACUGCAGCCAGAGGGGCUCUCCCCCCUCACCCACCUCGGGAGCCCGCAAACCCUCCAGGUGUCUCCUAGGAGGAAGAAGGAAACAAAGUAAAGCAGCAGAAAUCCUAACUGUGUGUGCUCUUUCUCCCCUCUCCCAUUUCCUUAACAAGGAGCAUAAAGACUCCCCUCCCUGACAGGAUCGCUGCUGCCUUGUGCUCACUCAGUCCUGCUCAGAACAAGUGAGGUGC